AAGGUGGGCCACUCCAAGUCCUCUAGUCUCCUCGUGCAGUGAUGGGCUGUGAACUUCCUUCCUUCGGUGACACGCCAGCGCUGUGAAGCUGAAGUCCUUCUGGUGGCCAUCAUUGGAAACUACAUCUUCUGUGAAGUGCUUCUGCCAACUGGUCCUCCUCUUAGUAAACAUGCUUGAUGUAUGGGAAGUGACUCAGAAGUGGUGGAAAGGCAAAUUCUGCUUCUGCUGGGGCUGUUACAUAAAAGAAGAAUGAAAUUGCAGGUACUAGGGGCUCUUGAAGCCACCACACAGGAACAGCCUGCCUAAGAAUGAAGCCUUAAGGGGAAGCACGGUGGAACAAGGCAGGCUCUGACUCAGGUUCAACCCCAGGACCCCACCUGCAGUUACUGAGCCAGGAAACACCUGUGUGCCUGUUUGAGUAGGCUUUC